AGUGAACGCUGGCGGUAGGCCUAACACAUGCAAGUCGAACGGCAGCACAGGAGAGCUUGCUCUCUGGGUGGCGAGUGGCGGACGGGUGAGGUAUACAUCGGAAUCUACCUUUUCGUGGGGGAUAACGUAGGGAAACUUACGCUAAUACCGCAUACGACCUACGGGUGAAAGUGGGGGACCGCAAGGCCUCACGCGAUUAGAUGAGCCGAUGUCCGAUUAGCUAGUUGGCGGGGUAAUGGCCCACCAAGGCGACGAUCGGUAGCUGGUCUGAGAGGAUGAUCAGCCACACUGGAACUGAGACACGGUCCAGACUCCUACGGGAGGCAGCAGUGGGGAAUAUUGGACAAUGGGCGCAAGCCUGAUCCAGCCAUACCGCGUGGGUGAAGAAGGCCUUCGGGUUGUAAAGCCCUUUUGUUGGGAAAGAAAUCCUGUCGAUUAAUACUCGGUGGGGAUGACGGUACCCAAAGAAUAAGCACCGGCUAACUUCGUGCCAGCCGCCGCCGUAA
rnacentral:rRNA from 1 species